rnacentral:rRNA from 1 species
ACAUGCCUACAACAUAGUGUUAAUUGAUUGUAUCCCAUUAGAACUUUGCAGUUAAGCACGCUCAAGCUAGAGUAGUACUGGGAUGGGUGAUUGCCCGGGAAUUCCUAGUGUUUUACAUGCU